CGCGGGGUGGAGCAGUCUGGUAGCUCGUCGGGCUCAUAACCCGAAGGUCGUAGGUUCAAAUCCUACCCCCGCAACCA
rnacentral:tRNA from 5 species